GCCCCAGUAACGGCGAGUGAAGCGGCAACAGCUCAAAUUUGAAAUCUGGCCCCCCCCGGGGGGCCCGAGUUGUAAUUUGCAGAGGAUGCUUUGGGCGAGGCGCCUUCCGAGUUCCCUGGAACGGGACGCCACAGAGGGUGAGAGCCCCGUCUGGUCGGACGCCGAGCCUCUGUAAAGCUCCUUCGACGAGUCGAGUAGUUUGGGAAUGCUGCUCAAAAUGGGAGGUAUAUGUCUUCUAAAGCUAAAUACCGGCCAGAGACCGAUAGCGCACAAGUAGAGUGAUCGAAAGAUGAAAAGCACCUUGAAAAGGGGGUUAAACAGUACGUGAAAUUGUUGAAAGGGAAGCGCUCGUGACCAGACUUGGGGCGGGCGGAUCAGCCGGCGUUCUCGCCGGCGCACUCCGCCCGUCCCAGGCCAGCAUCAGUUCGCGCCGGGGGACAAAGGCGGCGGGAACGUGGCUCCCCAGGGAGUGUUAUAGCCCGCCGCGCCAUGCCCCGGGGGCGGACUGAGGGCCGCGCAUCACUGCAAGGAUGCUGGCGUAAUGGUCACCAGCGACCCGUCUUGAAACACGGGCCAAGGAGUCGUCCUCGUAUGCGAGUGUUCGGGUGUCAAACCCCUACGCGGAAUGAAAGUGAACGUGGGUGAGAGCUUCGGCGCAUCAUCGACCGAUCCUGAUGUUCUCGGAUGGAUUUGAGUAGGAGCAUACGGGGCCGGACCCGAAAGAAGGUGAACUAUGCCUGUGUAGGGUGAAGCCAGAGGAAACUCUGGUGGAGGCUCGCAGCGGUUCUGACGUGCAAAUCGAUCGUCAAACAUGGGCAUGGGGGCGAAAGACUAA
rnacentral:rRNA from 1 species